GGACUACCGGGGUAUCUAAUCCUGUUUGCUCCCCACGCUUUCGCGCCUCAGCGUCAGUCUCGGUCCAGAGAGCCGCCUUCGCCACCGGUGUUCUUCCCAAUAUCUACGAAUUUCACCUCUACACUGGGAAUUCCACUCUCCUCUCCCGAACUCCAGCCCACCCGUCUCGCGCGCCAUUCCCAGGUUGAGCCCGGGGCUUUCACACGCGACUAGGCCGGCCGCCUACGCGCCCUUUACGCCCAGUGAUUCCGAACAACGCUCGCCCCCUUCGUAUUACCGCGGCUGCUGGCAC
rnacentral:rRNA from 1 species